rnacentral:rRNA from 1 species
UACGAAGGGGGCUAGCGUUGUUCGGAAUUACUGGGCGUAAAGCGCACGUAGGCGGCUUUGUAAGUUAGAGGUGAAAGCCCAGACGCUCAACUCUGGAAUUGCCUUUAAGACUGCAUCGCUUGAACAUCGGAGAGGUGAGUGGAAUUCCGAGUGUAGAGGUGAAAUUCGUAGAUAUUCGGAAGAACACCAGUGGCGAAGGCGACUCACUGGACGAUUGUUGACGCUGAGGUGCGAAAGCGUGGGGAGCAAACAGG